rnacentral:rRNA from 1 species
AACGAACGCUGGCGGCAGGCCUAACACAUGCAAGUCGAACGAGAUCUUCGGAUCUAGUGGCGGACGGGUGAGUAACGCGUGGGAACGUGCCCAGAUCUGCGGAAUAGCCACUGGAAACGGUGAGUAAUACCGCAUACGCCCUUCGGGGGAAAGAUUUAUCGGAUUUGGAUCGGCCCGCGUUAGAUUAGGUAGUUGGUGGGGUAACGGCCUACCAAGCCUACGAUCUAUAGCUGGUUUGAGAGGAUGAUCAGCCACACUGGGACUGAGACACGGCCCAGACUCCUACGGGAGGCAGCAGUGGGGAAUCUUAGACAAUGGGGCAACCCUGAUCUAGCCAUGCCGCGUGAGUGACGAAGGCCCUAGGGUCGUAAAGCUCUUUCGCCAGGGAUGAUAAUGACAGUACCUGGUAAAGAAACCCCG